AAUAAAGUGCCUGAAAAAAAGGAACACUCUGAUACUGUGCUUAUGCUAAUAGCCUUUAUUU
rnacentral:tRNA from 1 species